rnacentral:rRNA from 1 species
AGCAGCCGCGGUAAUUCCAGCUCCAAUAGCGUAUAUUAAAGUCGUUGCAGUUAAAAAGCUCGUAGUUGAACUUCGGGGUCUACCCAUUGGUCAGGCUUAAUUGUCUGCACUGGUGAGAUGGAUCUCUACCUUCUGAGGAACUUUCAUGCCAUUUAUUUGGUGUGAUGGGAAAUCAGGACUGUUACUUUGAAAAAAUUAGAGUGUUUAAAGCAGACUAUCGUCUGAAUACAUUAGCAUGGAAUAAUGAAAUAGGACGGACUGAUUCUAUUUCGUUGGUUUCUAGGAUCACCGUAAUGAUUAAUAGGGAUAGUUGGGGGCAUUAGUAUUCAAUUGUCAGAGGUGAAAUUCUUGGAUUUAUUGAAGACUAACUACUGCGAAAGCAUUUGCCAAGGAUGUUUUCAUUAAUCAAGAACGAAAGUUAGGGGAUCGAAGACGAUCAGAUACCGUCGUAGUCUUAACCAUAAACUAUGCCGACUAGGGAUCGGAUGAUGUUAAAUUAAUGACU